UUCUUUGUCGUUUCCUCAUUACUGAGGGUCG
rnacentral:sRNA from 1 species